AAGACUCCUGGAACUCCCUUGGUACCUGGGCCUCGUGCAGUGGCUUCUAGUGCAGAAAGUUAAAGGUCUAGUCUAAGUCUUCAAGGUUGAGAAGGUUUCCUGGAGCAGACAAAACGUCUUGGAGAAAGAUGGUUUGGCCCGGUCUAAGAUUUGGGGGCUGGAGUGCACAACAGCACGGGGGCAAGGAAGUACGAAACUCAUCCCCAAGAAGAACCAGAAUUCAGUUUCCCCCAGUUCGGCCGAAUAGUUGAUUUAUGAAAAACGAAGUUCAAUCUCACGUGCGCCUGAGUUCUCUGAGAUUGCUACCCGGCACACCUGUUCUUACAUAGUGAGUCCUGGGGAUCCAAUCUGUUCCU